rnacentral:rRNA from 1 species
GAGGUCCGACCUGCCCAGUGAUAUUAAUUCAACGGCCGCGGUAUUUUGACCGCGCUAAGGUAGCACAAUCACUUGUCUCUUAAAUGGGGACUAGUAUGAAAGGACCCACGAGAAUCUAACUGUCUCCUUUCUUUAAUCCGUGAAACUAAUCUCCCUGUGAAAAAGCAGGGAUCAUUAUAUAAGACGAGAAGACCCUAUGGAGCUUUAGAUAAAGCAAUACUUUCUUUUUCUAAAUCACUUUCAGAAGAAUACCCCCAAGACAUCUUGUUGCCAAUCUUCGGUUGGGGCGACCACGGAGUAAAACUAAUCCUCCACGCCGAAUGGAAUUUUCCAUAACAAAGAGCUACAGCUCUACGAACCAAAAAAUUGACAAUUGACCCAAUAUUUGAUCAACGAAACAAGUUACCCUAGGGAUAACAGCGCAAUCUAC